GACGGGUGAGUAACGCGUGGGAAUCUACCCAGUACUACGGAAUAACUCAGGGAAACUUGUGCUAAUACCGUAUACGCCCUCCGGGGGAAAGAUUUAUCGGUAUUGGAUGAGCCCGCGUUUGAUUAGCUUGUUGGUGAGGUAAUGGCUCACCAAGGCGAUGAUCAAUAGCUGGUCAGAGAGGAUGAUCAGCCACACUGGGACUGAGACACGGCCCAGACUCCUACGGGAGGCAGCAGUGGGGAAUAUUGGACAAUGGGCGCAAGCCUGAUCCAGCCAUGCCGCGUGAGUGAUGACGGCCUUAGGGUUGUAAAACUCUUUCAACGGUGAAGAUAAUGACGGUAACCGUAGAAGAAGCCCCGGCUAACUUCGUGCCAGCAGCCGCGGUAAUACGAAGGGGGCUAGCGUUGUUCGGAAUAACUGGGCGUAAAGCGCGCGUAGGCGGACUAGUCAGUCAGGGGUGAAAUCCCGGGGCUCAACCCCGGAACUGCCUUUGAUACUGCUAAUCUUGAGUUCGAGAGAGGUGAGUGGAAUCCC
rnacentral:rRNA from 1 species